rnacentral:lncRNA from 1 species
CAGAGACACAGAGAGAGACUGUCACACCCGGUUUUAAGGACAAAACCAAGUGCUACAUAUAUGUAUGCCAGGAUCAAGAUUCAUACAUAUAGUGACAUCAUAAGUGAAUAACAGCAACAGUAUCACGUAAAAAGAUACAAAGACUUACGAAACCAUCAGAGAUAUACAGCUUAAUUAUGGAAACGGAGGCUCCAAACUUCACAGGCAAUCGACUGGGGGCUGCGUACGCCUAGGACUCAGCACCAUCUUCACA